rnacentral:SRP_RNA from 1 species
AUGCAAAGCAGGGUUUGCUGCUCCAGUUGAGAGCUCAUAUAGGUUCGUGGGCCGAGGGGCAACAGAGCAGGGUGGAGCCCGGCUGGUACCAG